UAGAUCUUCACCGUUGACUAGCCCCAC
rnacentral:piRNA from 1 species